rnacentral:rRNA from 1 species
AGAGUUUGAUCCUGGCUCAGAACGAACGCUGGCGGCAGGCCUAACACAUGCAAGUCGAGCGCCCCGCAAGGGGAGCGGCGGACGGGUGAGUAACGCGUGGGAAUUUUCCUCAAGGUACGGAACAACUCAGGGAAACUUGGGCUAAUACCGUAUGACGUCGAGAGACCAAAGAUUUAUCGCCUUGGGAUAAGCCCGCGUCAGAUUAGGUAGUUGGUGGGGUAACGGCCUACCAAGCCUGCGAUCUGUAGCUGGUCUGAGAGGACGAUCAGCCACACUGGGACUGAGACACGGCCCAGACCCCUACGGGAGGCAGCAGUGGGGAAUCUUGCGCAAUGGGCGAAAGCCUGACGCAGCCAUGCCGCGUGAAUGAUGAAGGUCUUAGGAUUGUAAAGUUCUUUCGCUCGUGACGAUGAUGACGGUAACGAGAGAAGAAGCCCCGGCUAACUUCGUGCCAGCAGCCGCGGUAAUACGAAGGGGGCUAGCGUUGUUCGGAAUUACUGGGCGUAAAGCGCGCGUAGGCGGCUUUGCAAGCCAGAGGUGAAAUGCCUGAGCUCAACUUAGGAAUUGCCUUUGGGACUGCGAGGCUUCGAGGACUGGAGAGGUGAGUGGAAUUCCCAGUGUAGAGGUGAAAUUCGUAGAUAUUGGGAAGAACACCGGUGGCGAAAGCGGCUCACU